GUGAGUCAUCGAGUCUUUGAACGCACAUUGCGCCCUCUGGUAUUCCGGAGGGCAUGCCUGUCUGAGUGUCAGUUUAUUCUCCAAUUUCUCUUGAACUUGUUCCAACAAGGACAGGAAAUGGGUAUUGAGUGAUGAAUUGUCAUGAUCCACACUUCAAAUCGAUUUGUAGGGCUGUCCGAACCACGCAAGCGUAGUAUAUACUUUCGUUGAGUCGUUUGGUGAUAAACCCUUAUACUAUACUUACAUCUUAACAAUACAUUUCGACCUCAGAUCAGGUAGGGAUACCCGCUGAACUUAAGCAUAUCAAUAAGCGGAGG
rnacentral:rRNA from 1 species